rnacentral:rRNA from 1 species
CCUACGGGAGGCAGCAGUGGGGAAUAUUGGACAAUGGGGGGAACCCUGAUCCAGCGACGCCGCGUGAGUGAAGAAAUACCUCGGUGUGUAAAGCUCUAUUAGCAGGGAAGAAACUGACGGUACCUGACUAAGAAGCCCCGGCUAACUACGUGCCAGCAGCCGCGGUAAUACGUAGGGGGCAAGCGUUAUCCGGAUUUACUGGGUGUAAAGGGAGCGUAGACGGUGCAGCAAGUCUGAUGUGAAAGGUCGGGGCCCAACCCCGGGACUGCAGUGGAAACUGUGGAGCUGGAGUGCAGGCGAGGUAGGCGGAAUUCCUGGUGUAGCGGUGAAAUGCGUAGAUAUGAGGAGGAACACCGGUGGCGAAGGCGGCUUGCUGGAGUGGAACUGACGUUGAGGCUCGAAAGCGUGGGGAGCAAACAGGAUUAGAUACCCGUGUAGUC